GUCUCGGUGGUGUAGUGGUCCAGACGCUCGACUGAUAAACAGGAGGGCGUGGGUUCAAUCCCAGCCGAGAUC
rfam:Asian citrus Psyllid, Diaphorina citri - Florida Strain, whole genome shotgun sequence.